rnacentral:rRNA from 1 species
CCUACGGGAGGCAGCAGUGGGGAAUCUUGCGCAAUGGGCGAAAGCCUGACGCAGCCAUGCCGCGUGAAUGAUGAAGGUCUUAGGAUUGUAAAAUUCUUUCACCGAGGACGAUAAUGACGGUACUCGGAGAAGAAGCCCCGGCUAACUUCGUGCCAGCAGCCGCGGUAAUACGAAGGGGGCUAGCGUUGCUCGGAAUUACUGGGCGUAAAGGGAGCGUAGGCGGAUAGUUUAGUCAGAGGUGAAAGCCCAGGGCUCAACCUUGGAAUUGCCUUUGAUACUGGCUAUCUUGAGUACGGAAGAGGUAUGUGGAACUCCGAGUGUAGAGGUGAAAUUCGUAGAUAUUCGGAAGAACACCAGUGGCGAAGGCGACAUACUGGUCCGUUACUGACGCUGAGGCUCGAAAGCGUGGGGAGCAAACAGGAUUAGAUACCCUGGUAGUCCACGCUGUAAACGAUGAGUGCUAGUUGUCGGCAUGCAUGCAUGUCGGUGACGCAGCUACGCAUAAGUACACUCCGCCGUCGGGUAGGUACGGUCGCGAGAGUUAAACUACAAUAGAAGUUAGACGGCGUGAGACGUGACCGACGGACGACGACGAGGGAGGUUAGG